UACAGAAAAAGAGGUGAACAACUCCAUGUAGCCUACUUACAUUACAAAAGUAUGUGUUUAAUGCAAGUUGGGAACAGCUGGAGUCACACAUUUUUGUGGGUGGGGACUACAUAUCCCAUCGGCCACUGCCAAAAUUCUUUGGGUUAGUAGCUCUCAGCAUGGCUCAGUUAUGUGCUGGUUUUUACCGCGUGAUAAGAGACUCUUUGGAACUGCGGAGAUGCGUAAGGAACUAGUGCGCGGCUACACUCCAAACCGCUGGAUCAAGCUACAGUCGAACAAGUCAACACAAAGAACAGACAGGACUACGCGAGAACAUUUAAUCCAAAUCUGGAUUUAUUCUGUUUAAGUGCAUUUUAUAAAUUAAACGGGUUUCGCCGUCAUCUGCUCUGUGGUUCGUUGACUGUUGGAUCUCAUGGGAUAGCCUAUCCCUUGUCCAUGGUCAGAUGUGCGUGCAUUGUGGAGAGCUUUGUAUGGAGUUGUGUUCAGCUGUGGAUUGAUUUACGCGUGCGCGGGGUUCAGCAUUUAGGUUGUGGAUAUCUUUUUACGCAUUAUGCUUAUGAACAUUCAUAUCCGUGUCAUAUCCAUAGUCUACAGUUGUCCAGUAGUUGGGCUUUCAGAACGAAUCACCAUCAGUGACACAGGUGGAUGUCACAUAACGGCCCUGUGCGUGAUGUAAGAAGAAACUGAAAUUUGGAUUGUAAAAUGUCAGCUCUGGAUAAGACGUAACAAGAACAUAGUUUUGCAGUGGCCUUACAGGUGCGCAACAAAUGCCUUGGCGAGUCAGAAUGACUGGAGAAAAUGAAGACAACAGGGAAUUCCGAGUGUGAAGACAGGUGCCAAACGGUGACAACAUAUGUUUAUUUCCAGAGGUCACCGCCACCUCCUCAGUGACAAACAAGCUGCCAUGGCGAUGUCAAGUAAACAGGGCAGGCAGCCGUGAUUUCAUCGUUUGGCACCAAAAUGGUGUGAGGACAAGACCCCCAUCCCUCUGCCUGCGCUGAAAGCUGAGUGGGAUAGAGAGCGUGCGAAGGAAGAGAACCCCCUCCAACCCUUAGUUCUGAAGAGAGACAGAUAGAACAUAUAGACUGAAUGUACCGGUUGAAAGAGAGUGAAAAUGAGAAAGAGAGUGACUCACGCUCUCCUCCCUGCUCAUCCAUCCCAUCCGUCGCUCCAUCUGGUUUGUAUUUGUUUGGAUGUUUCUCCACCUCCAGCCUCUGGGUAGAACCAGCGCCAAGGCCCAGAUGGCUGCCGACCCAGCCACACCAGCCCACCGCGGAGAGAGUACACUGGGUUGGAGAAUGCCUGGGCCUGCCUCUUGGCUGGGGUAUGGAUGGUGGGCUAUGGUGGGGAAGGGAAGGGCGGACUUGGCUGGUGAUGGGUCUCAGAUGGACCGCACUCCGGCGCUGACGCAACAUCCAUCGAUCAUCCAUCGCGUUGGUUGAUAGUUUAUCCCCUCUACGCUGAGGACGUGAGCCCAGUCGUGUUGAGGGUGUUGGGGCGCAUUGAGGCAUGCUCAGUUGACAGUCAGAGACGUCAGAGAGGACGUCACACACCGGGGUGGCGGGUGCCAGGACUGACAGACUAGCCAGACGUCCGUUAGAUCAGUUACUGAGACUGGCAUCUCAUGGGACUGGCGCGUGGCAUCAGUACCAGACUGGUAGACUCAGCAUAAUGUCAGAUAGGAUGAGAAACUAUUUUAGACUCUAAAUCUGAAUAUCAUGUCUAAAUGUAAUGGUGUUUAGCUGUAUGUUGUUUUUUUAAUGAUUAUUUUACCUUUAUUUGACCAGGGAAGACAUCAUUGAGUAGUAGGUCUCUUUUUAAAUGUGCCCUGCACAAUACAACACAAAUAUACACAUUAUACACAAUAUAUACAUAUGGACACAUUAUAUAAUUCUGCAUGGGGAACAUGAUUUGUUUUUGCAGUCCCAGCCUUAUUGCCUUUGUCUUGUUUAUUCCUCGUCGUGUCUAAAUAAAAGAGGGCCUAAGCAGAACCCUACCGCCAGCAAAUCCUUUGUGCCUGCUGACGACAACUUUG